rnacentral:rRNA from 1 species
CAAGUCGAACGCGAAAGUUCCCUUCGGGGAGCGAGUAGAGUGGCGCACGGGUGAGUAACACGUAGGUAAUCUACCUUUGGAUUGGGAAUAACCACCGGAAACGGUGGCUAAUACCGAAUAAUGCAGCGGCACCUAAUGGUGACAGUUGUUAAAGCGGGGGAUCGCAAGACCUCGCGUCUGAAGAGGAGCCUGCGGCAGAUUAGCUAGUUGGUAAGGUAACGGCUUACCAAGGCAAUGAUCUGUAGCCGGCCUGAGAGGGCGGUCGGCCACACUGACACUGACAUACGGGUCAGACUCCUACGGGAGGCAGCAGUCGGGAAUUUUGGGCAAUGGGCGAAAGCCUGACCCAGCAACGCCGCGUGAAGGAUGAAAUCCUUCGGGAUGUAAACUUCGCAAGAACGGGAAGAAUAAGUAAGAGCUAACAUCUCUUAUGAUGACGGUACUGUUUGUAAGCUCCGGCUAACUCCGUGCCAGCAGCCGCGGUAAUACGGGGGGAGCAAGCGUUGUUCGGAUUUACUGGGCGUAAAGGGCGCGUAGGCGGCCACCGCAAGUCAGUUGUGAAAUCUCUGGGCUUAACCCAGAACGGUCAGCUGAUACUGCGGGGCUAGAGUGCAGAAGGGGCAACUGGAAUUCUCGGUGUAGCGGUGAAAUGCGUAGAUAUCGAGAGGAACACCUGCGGCGAAGGCGGGUUGCUGGGCUGACACUGACGCUGACAGCGCGAAAGCUAGGGGAGCGAACGGGAUUAGAUACCCCGGUAGUCCUAGCCUUAAACGAUGAAUGCUUGGUGUCUGGGGUUUUAUAGUCCCCGGGUGCCGUCGCUAACGCUUUAAGCAUUCCGCCUGGGGAGUACGGUCGCAAGACUGAAACUCAAAGGAAUUGACGGGGACCCGCACAAGCGGUGGA